rnacentral:rRNA from 1 species
AUUGAACGCUGGCGGCAGGCCUAACACAUGCAAGUCGAGCGGAUGAAGGGAGCUUGCUCCUGGAUUCAGCGGCGGACGGGGGAGUAAUGCCUAGGAAUCUGCCUGGUAGUGGGGGAUAACGUCCGGAAACGGGCGCUAAUACCGCAGACGUCCUGAGGGAGAAAGUGGGGGAUCUUCGGACCUCACGCUAUCAGGUGGGCCUAGGUCGGAUUAGCUAGUUGGUGGGGUAAGGGCCUACCAAGGCGACGAUCCGUAACUAGUCUGAGAGGAUGAUCAGUCACACUGGAACUGAGACACGCUCCAGACUCCUACGGGAGGCAGCAGUGGGGAAUAUUGGACAAUGGGCGAAAGCCUGAUCCAGCCAUGCCGAGUGUGUGAAGAAGGUCUUCGGAUUGUAAAGCAGUUUAAGUUGGGAGGAAGGGCAGUAAGUUAAUACCUUGCUGUUUUGACGUUACCAACAGAAUAAGCACCGGCUAACUUCGUG